UCCUACGGGAGGCAGCAGUAGGGAAUCUUCCGCAAUGGACGAAAGUCUGACGGAGCAACGCCGCGUGAGUGAUGAAGGCUUUCGGGUCGUAAAACUCUGUUGUUAGGGAAGAACAAGUGCUAGUUGAAUAAGCUGGCACCUUGACAGUACCUAACCAGAAAGCCACGGCUAACUACGUGCCAGCAGCCGCGGUAAUACGUAGGUGGCAAGCGUUAUCCGGAAUUAUUGGGCGUAAAGCGCGCGCAGGUGGUUUCUUAAGUCUGAUGUGAAAGCCCACGGCUCAACCGUGGAGGGUCAUUGGAAACUGGGAGACUUGAGUGCAGAAGAGGAAAGUGGAAUUCCAUGUGUAGCGGUGAAAUGCGUAGAGAUAUGGAGGAACACCAGUGGCGAAGGCGACUUUCUGGUCUGUAACUGACACUGAGGCGCGAAAGUGUGGGGAGCAAACAGGAUUAGAUACCCUGGUAGUCCACGCCGUAAACGAUGAGUGCUAAGUGUUAGAGGGUUUCCGCCCUUUAGUGCUGAAGUUAACGCAUUAAGCACUCCGCCUGGGGAGUACGGCCGCAAGGCUGAAACUCA
rnacentral:rRNA from 1 species